rnacentral:lncRNA from 1 species
CCAUUCACUCAGGAAAACAAAGAUGAUUUGAAGUGCACUUUUUGUGGGUUCGGUAGCUAAUGGCAAGGCACUGUCGAGAAUGGAGACAGUGGCUCUCGGCAAGACACUGCCAAGAAUUAGAGUAUCAUGCAACCGUUGAGCACUGAACCAGCUGGGCCUUCUCAGCAACGGGCUGCCGAGUGUGAUGCAGAGUGUUGGCAGGGAGCUGCCGAACCAGUUAUGUGAAAUCCCGUUCUUGGAUUUCACUGUUAUAAUAUGUGUAUUUGUAUUAUUGAGAUUUUAUAUUAUUUCUCGAGAAUUUAUUUUAAUUUGUUUGAAUUUAGAUUUUAAUUAAACUAGUUACGAAGUUUGGAAAUUAAUUAUUUAAAAUCCGUAGACCUUUGGAUGUCACAUUUUAUAUUUUCGAAUAGAUCUCGAAACCAUGAACGCAUAGGCGAAAACUGUUUGCAAGUCCGGAUUAUAAUGGUAUAGUUACGGACGUUUGAAGUUGUGUUACUAAACUAUAGAUUUUAGAAAGAGUAAAUUGUAGCUAUAGUCCCUGAACUUUAAUUCAAUUGGAGCAAUGGUCCUUCAACUAAAAAUCCAUUACCAUUGGUCCCUCAACUCAUCAAAACGUGCAACUAUGGUCCCUCAACUAAAAAUCCAUUACCCUUGGUCCCUCAACUUUAAUUCAACUGGAGAAAUGGUCCCUUAACUUUAACCUAAUUGUAGCAAUGGUCCUUCCAACCAAGGUUUAAAAUAUCGAUGAUAUCGGAAAUAUCGGUAGUCCAAAAACAUGAAAAUUUCGAUGGAAAUAUCGGGAUAUUAUCGAUAUCGAUAAAAAUUGAAUAAAAACCACGGAAAUUGUAAGAAAAACUUGGAAAUUUUUAUUGAAACUUUGCAGGAUGUUUAUUUAGUCAAUUAUCUAUUAGUUUAUCACAAAAAAUUGAAAGGAAAUGCAUUGCAUGAUGAAUUUAAUUGAUUUAAGUUGAUUAUAUAGCGAGCUGGCAAACAUUGUGAGUGUAGAAAAUAUGUAGGAAUUAAUGAAAGAAGUUUAAACACACCAUAAUCAUUUAUAUAUAAUGAAUUAGUACAAUAUUUUGAACCUCAUAGGAACCUUGUACAUUGCAUAUAUAAUGAAUUGUAUUAAUUCAUUAUAUAUUUUACACUUUAUACAUUGCAUGGUAGAUUGUUACACCCACCCUCAAUUUAAAUUGUAUUUUCACUAAAUUUGAGUUUAUUUUACUUUUAAAAUUGUUUUUGAGUCUUAAAGGUGUGCCAUGGGGCCCACCUUUGUUUGUUUCCCCGGGUCCAAGCCUAUCUCUCUCUCUCUUCUCUUUCCUUCCCUCAUACUCUCUUCCUUUUCCUCUUUCCCCGAGUUUCUCUGUGUUCUCUCAUCUUCCUGUCGAACACAUACACACACCCAGUCACCGCACACCCUUCGUAGUACUUUGUCAACGACAUCAUUAUCACCAUCUAAACCGCAUCUUUCUCUCCAUUUCUUUCGGUGCAGCUAGGACAGUGGAACCCAGGAACUUUUCGACGAGUUCUCUUGAUCCUUCUCCGAUUAGGUAAGCCCCAGGUUGCGUCAAUUCAUCUUGGAUGUUGUGUGGUUGAGAUAUACUAAGUUUUAUCUUGUUUUUUUUAACAAGGUUUUAGAACGAGAUCGACCUGGGGAAGGCACACCCAGCUCUGGUGAGGCCGUGAGUGUUGAGGAACUUUUCAAACACCUUCGACUGUUUCACGGCAAAUGGAAGGAAUAUAAACAUUCCUCUCGUCUUGUGUUUCAUUUUGAUACCUAGAUCGGAGUCUAGAGUGCUCUUUUACAGUCUGCCGGAGCUGUAGAAGCUCUGGCGUUCUUCUCUGAUUCGCACUAGUCCUAAAAUAUCGUGAUAUUAUCAAUAAUAUCGCGAUAUAUUGACGAUAAUUGAAACUCCCCAACCCCAUUUAUUUUAAAAUAAUUGUUUGGACCUAAAUUGGUGAGCCAAAGGGCCCACCCCUUUUAUUUUGUCCCUCGGUCUCUCUCCUCUCUGCCCUUCCCUGUGUUCUCCCCUUUCUUUCUCUCUCUCUCUCGAAAUCUUCUCUUCCUCACUCCCCGAUCUCACACCUUUCGACCCAUACCCGAGAGCACCCACACCUGCAACUACUCUACUCGAGAACAUCAUCAUCAUCAAGCAUUACUUUGGUCUCUCUUCCAUUGCAGCGAGAUUGGUGAAAGCAGAGAAAAUGAUCUCCGGCGAGUUCCUUGUGGUUUCGACGAUAGGUAAGCCUUGGGACUUCUCUCUCUAUCUCUGUACUAUCUAUCCCU